rnacentral:rRNA from 1 species
UGGGGAAUUUUGGACAAUGGGCGAAAGCCUGAUCCAGCAAUGCCGCGUGUGUGAAGAAGGCCUUCGGGUUGUAAAGCACUUUUGUCCGGAAAGAAAUCCUUGGCUCUAAUACAGUCGGGGGAUGACGGUACCGGAAGAAUAAGCACCGGCUAACUACGUGCCAGCAGCCGCGGUAAUACGUAGGGUGCAAGCGUUAAUCGGAAUUACUGGGCGUAAAGCGUGCGCAGGCGGUUUGCUAAGACCGAUGUGAAAUCCCCGGGCUCAACCUGGGAACUGCACUGGUGACUGGCAGGCUAGAGUAUGGCAGAGGGGGGUUAGAAUUCCACGUGUAGCAGUGAAAUGCGUAGAGAUGUGGAGGAAUACCGAUGGCGAAGGCAGCCCCCUGGGCCAAUACUGACGCUCAUGCACGAAAGCGUGGGGAGCAAACAGGAUUAGAUACCCUGGUAGUCCACGCCCUAAACGAUGUCAACUAGUUGUUGGGGAUUCAUUUUCCUUAGUAACGUAGCUAACGCGUGAAGUUGACCGCUGGGGAGUACGGUCGCAAGAUUAAAACUCAAAGGAAUUGACGGGGUCAUAGCUGUUUCCU